AGUUUUCUGAAUCCGUGCUGAGAUGUCAGACACCAACCCAUCAGGGCUGAUCAGACUUCCAAGAUAAGUGAAGUU
rfam:Schistosoma haematobium scaffold283_8, whole genome shotgun sequence.